rnacentral:rRNA from 1 species
AUACGGAGGGCGCGAACGUUGCUCGGAAUCAUUGGGCGUAAAGCGCACGUAGGCGGCCUGAUAAGUCAAAUGUGAAAGCCCUCGGCUUAACCGAGGAAGUGCAUUCGAAACUGUCAGGCUUGAGUAUGGGAGAGGGUUGCGGAAUUCCCGGUGUAGAGGUGAAAUUCGUAGAUAUCGGGAGGAACACCAGCGGCGAAGGCGGCAGCCUGGACCAAUACUGACGCUGAGGUGCGAAAGCGUGGGGAGCAAACAGGAUUAGAAACCCUAGUAGUCC